UACGUAGGUGGCAAGCGUUGUCCGGAUUUACUGGGCGUAAAGGGCGCGUAGGCGGCGUGUUAAGUCAGCUGUGAAAUCUCCAAGCUUAACUUGGAACGGUCAGCUGAUACUGAUGUGCUAGAGUGCAGAAGGGGCAAUCGGAAUUCUUGGUGUAGCGGUGAAAUGCGUAGAUAUCAAGAGGAACACCUGAGGUGAAGACGGGUUGCUGGGCUGACACUGACGCUGAGGCGCGAAAGCUAGGGUAGCAAACGGG
rnacentral:rRNA from 1 species